rnacentral:tRNA from 1 species
AGUAAGGUAAGCUAUAAAAAGCUAUCGGGCCCAUACCCCGAAAAUGAUGGUGAAACCCCUUCCCCUACUA